AUUUAUGAAAGAUUAACUUCUGCGAAAGCAUCUGCCAAGGAUGUUUUCAUUAAUCAAGAACGAAAGUUAGGGGAUCGAAGACGAUCAGAUACCGUCGUAGUCUUAACCAUAAACGAUGCCGACCAGCGAUUAGGAGACGUUGAAUACAAAACACCACCAUCGGUGCGGUCGUCCUUGGCGUCUCGGUCCUUCACGGGGCCGGGGCGCGGGGGCGGCUUAGCCCGGUGGCACCGGUGAAUGACUCCCCUAGCAGCUUGUGAGAA
rnacentral:rRNA from 1 species